rnacentral:lncRNA from 1 species
CGUAGACAGCCUUCCGAAGUUUGUAGCAAUGGUUUGGAAAAGAGAGAUUGAUAAAACCAGGGGCUGUUGGAGGUAAACUUCGGUGUCAAGUUCACCAUUUAGAAAAGCACUCUUAACAUCCAUUUGAAAAACUUUGAAACCUUUGUGAGCUGCGUAAGCAAGAAAGAUUCUGAUAGCUUCAAGUCAUGCAACAGGAGCAAAUGUCUCGUCGUAAUCAAGACCUUCAAUUUGAGUGAAUCCUUUUGCUACCAAUCUUGCUUUAUUUCGAAUGAUAAUACAUGCAUCGUCUAGUUUGUUGUGAAAUACCCAUAUUGUCCCUACAAUAGGGUGAUGUUGAGGAGGAGGUACAAGAGUCCACACUUCAUUGCGUGCGAAUUCUGCCAGUUCAUCUUGCUUGGCUGUAAUCCAAUCAGCAUGCUCUAAUGCUUCCUUGAUAGAUUUUGGUUCAACCAUGGAGAUGAAAGCUAAGAAGUGGCAUUCGUUUUGGAUGUUGGUAGCUGAGCAAGUUUGAACACCAACAUUGGGAUUGCCAAUUACCUGGUUUGGAGGAUGAUCUUGUUGGAAUAGUGUCUAAGGGUGCAACUAUAUUAGGCCAGAGGAUGACCCGGUUGAGCAUGGUCCUUUUGGGUUGCCUUNAGGCUACAACUAUAUUAGGCAAGUAUUUGACCCGGUUGAGCAUGGUCCUUUUGGGUUGCCUUCACCAUAGCAACUUGACAGGAUGAUUUAUAAUG